rnacentral:rRNA from 1 species
AAACUUUCAACAACGGAUCUCUUGGUUCCAGCAUCGAUGAAGAACGCAGCGAAAUGCGAUAAGUAAUGUGAAUUGCAGAAUUCAGUGAAUCAUCGAAUCUUUGAACGCACAUUGCGCCCCUCGGUAUUCCGGGGGGCAUGCCUGUUCGAGCGUCGUU